AUUGAACGCUGGCGGCAGGCCUAACACAUGCAAGUCGAGCGAGCGGCGGACGGGUGAGUAAUGUCUGGGAAACAGCCCGCUGGAGGGGGAUAACUACUGGAAACGGUAGCUCAUACCACAUACCAUCAGAUGUGCCCAGAUGGGAUUAGCUAGAAGGUGGGGGAAUGACUCACCGAGGCGACGAUCCCUAGCUGGUCUGAGAGGAUGACCAGCCAACAUGGAACUGAGACACGGUCCAGACUCCUACGCGAGGCAGCAGUGGGGAAUAUUGAAAAAUGGGCGCAAGCCGGAUGCAGCCAUGCCGCGUGUAUGAAGAAGGCCUUCGGGUUGUAAAGCACUUUCAGCGGGGAGGCGGUACCCGCAGAAGAAGCACCGUCUAACUCCGUGCCAGCAGCCGCGGUAAUUC
rnacentral:rRNA from 1 species